UUUGCGUUCAAAUACUGCGAAUGCUUGACACACGUUAUAUCCUAAAUAUUUGAAUAUUGCAGGCAGAAUGUGUUUCCCCGCUAGUAUCUGCUGAAUUGUAGAAUUUAGGGAUUUUUAUGAAGCAGAGGGGACACUGGAGAAAUUAAGUGGAGAACAACAGUCAGACUGCUUUUCAAGGAUAAUCCCCUGUGUCCAAAUCAUCAUGGAGACUUAACAUUAAAGGGAGGUAAAAUUUGCUCCCCCUCAUACUGCCUCCAUGAGGUCGCGGGUAGGACAAGGAGGAGGCUGUGCGGAUGCUCCAAACGCUGGUGUAACCUGGAUGGAAUAUUGGGCUUCCUGUCCCUGGUAAGGAAUGCGGGGUGUUGCCUGCUCAUGGGCUGGAAUCUUACCUGUGACCUUCACUUGUGUAGGUCCAGGCCUCUGCUCAGACAGCAGAGUGGGGUCUGAAAACAAACAAGAGCUGAUCCCGGAGGGACAGGUCUCUGAAAAUCAAGCUGUAAA
rnacentral:lncRNA from 1 species